GACAGCGUGUCCGAGUGGUUAAGGAGAUAGACUUGAAAUCUAUUGGGAUUUCCCGCACAGGUUCAAAUCCUGUCGCUGUCG
rfam:Rozella allomycis CSF55 unplaced genomic scaffold scaffold_4174, whole genome shotgun sequence.